UCGGAGAGGGAGCAUGAGAAACGGCUACCACAUCUACGGAUGGCAGCAGGCGCGCAAAUUACCCAAUGCAGACACUGUGAGGUAGUGACGAGAAAUAAUAAAGCGAGGCUUCUGUCUUGCUAUUAUAAUGAGGAAUAACCAAAGGCCAUUCCUAUUAGCAACUGAUGGGAAAGUCUGGUGCCAGCAGCCGCGGUAAUACCAGCGUCAGUAGCAUAUAUUAAAAUUGUUGCAGUUAAAACGUCCGUAGUCUGUACGUCGUCCGAGACUUUACUACAGCUCCGCAUGUUCUUCAGUGGGCGUGCCUAGUGUGUAGUUGCUCCCUUGAUCAAAAUAGAGUGUUCAAGGUAGGCCAAGUCUUCAUAUUUUCACAUGGAAUUGGGUGAAGGGACUCAAGAGCUUGAGUUUUUCGUCUUAGGAUCACCUGGGGUCAUUCGUACUCGUCCGCGAGAGGUGAAAUUCUUGGACCGGACGAAGACGGCCAGCAGCGAAAGCAUCUGUCAGGGGUGUUUUCUGCGACAAAGGACGAAGGUCAGGGGAUCGAAGACGAUUGGAUACCGUCGUAGUCCUGACUGUAAACUAUGCCGACUUGGGUCUUGCAGAGUCAACACUUUGUGAGACCCACACAGAAAUGAAAGUGUAUGGGUUCUGGGGGUAGUAUGGACACAAGUCUGAAACUUGAAGGAAUUGACGGAAGAGCACCAUAAGACGUGGAGCUUGCGGCUUAAUUUGACUCAACGCGGGGAAAACUUACCAGGUCAAGACAUGGGCGUGAUUGACAGGCUGAUGACCUUUCUCGAUUCCUUGGAUGGUGGUGCAUGGUCGCACUUAGUUGGUGCAGUGAUUUGUCAGGUUUAUUCCGGUAACGAACGAGACCUCGGCCUUGUAACUAGUUUACUGCUUACAGGGACAAUGUCGGCUACGUCAAGGAAGUUCGAGGCAAUUGCAGAUCUGGAAUGCCCUUAGAUGUCCUGGGUCGCACGCGUGCUACAAUGACGCCACGAGCGAGUGUGCGUGACGGAACUCACGUGAAAUCAGCAAUCGGCGUCUUCAGGGACAGUCUCUUGUAACUGUGGGACUCGAACUAGGAAUGUCUCGUAAGCACAAGUCAACAUCUUGUGUUGAUUACGUCCCUGCUCUUUGUACACACCGCCCGUCGCUCCUACCGAUCGAGUGUUUAGAUGAAUUUGACGGACUAGCGGAAGUCAAAUGAAUCUGAUCACUUAGAGGAAGGAGAAGUCGUAACAAGGUAGCCGA
rnacentral:rRNA from 1 species